CCCUUUACCCUUGUCAGAGUCUCUCCCGGGAGACUGCUGUGCUUCUUGCCUCUGUUCCAAAGAGAGUGAAGCAACGCUCCGCACUGGUUCAGAUCUGGCCAAGGAGCAUGUAGGAGCGGGUUUAGCUUUCCCCGUCUCUGAAAGCAGCUGCAGGGAUGUUUCCAUCAGAAGCAUUUUCAGCCGCAGGGUCCCUGUUGCGCCGAGCCCUUGACUUGAGGCUCGUACAGUGGAGGCACUUUGUGAGAAUGGGGGUUGCCCCAGGCACUUCACACAAUGUGAGUGCCCAUUGGCCCAUGGCAUGGAGUCCUGACAGGAAACACACUUUUUGAAUCCUGAAGCCCCUGGCAUUGUGAACUAGAAAUGGCAGGGGAGACCAGGAGACAAGCCUGAAGCGAAAAGAGACCAGGGAAGAGAAGUAGCACUGCCCCGAGUCCCAUCUUCAGCCGGGGACAGUAGAGAAGGAACUGGGUGGGAUGCGGGACUCAGGAGCUCAGGAAGAUUCCAACGAGACGGGAGAUACCAACUGAGCACCUGCAUCCCGACCAGGCACGAAAAUCUCUGAUCAACGGUGCCAGGAUGCACUGACACCUAGAGUGGAGCACCCACAGGGACAGCACUCAAAGAAGAAUUUCAGAUAUCAGGAUCAAAGUAAGUGGCACACAGCAGUUCAGCAACUCUGAUUCCUGUUCAGAUUCGAAGCUUGUGAUACACUGCAUGAUCAUCCACGAUGUGUUAAUAACAGUUACUACAACAGUCGAGAGCAGUGCGGGAUCGAUCCUCUCACACGGAGAUGGCAGGCGUACAAUAAAUAGGGGCCAUUGAAAAAUGCUGUGAAACGCAGUUGGAAGACUACAGAAUUCUGGGACAGAAAAUAAUGCAUCAUGGGAUGUUGAGCCCACACCAAGAUUUGCUGUGAUCCAUUUCGCCUUCCCAAAAGUCCUAGCUGCAGAAAGUGCAGGCCCAGCUCUUGACAUGUGGCUCAGACUGUCGAGGAUAUGUUCGACUUAGGCUUGAGACCUGGCCCUGAUAAGCCCCUUGUCGAGGUAAGGAUAGAUUUGGACACCUCAGCAUCUCAGGUAAGCUGCUACCACUGCCAUCUACUUUGUGAAUACUCUCAGAGCUGGUGAGAGGCUGAAGAGUAGGGCCAUGAAUUGAUAAUGGCUCUGGCCUACUAUAAAUUGGCGGAAUCUCCUGGGUCUGCAGAAAAUAGAAAUAUGGAAGUAGGCAUCUUUCAAGUCGAGGGCGGCGUACCAGUGUCUUGGAUCCAGAGAGGGGAUAAUGGAGGCCAAGAGACCAUGCGGAACUUCAAUUUUUUGAGAUGCUUGUUGAAGUGAUGCAGGUCUAAGAUGGGCCUGAGUCCCCCUUUGGUCUCCGGUAUUGAGAAAUAUUGGGAGUAGACCCCUUUCCUUUUUGGCUCUAGAGCAGAGGUGGGGAACCUCUGGCCCACAGGCUGGAGCCGGCCCGCUGCUUAAUUUAAUCCAGCCCAUGGCAAGUAUCUGCGCAGCUGGCUGGAAGCCCCGAGCUUUAGCACUGCCCCCCUCCCCCCACAGCUCCCGGUCGGAGGGGCGAUCAGGGAAGCUCCACAUGCUGCUCCCGCGCCCAGCAUCAGCUCCACAGUUCCAACUGGCUGGGAACUGUGGCCAAUUGGAGCUGUGGGGGCAGUGACUGCAGGCACGGGCACGCACCAUGCAGAGCCCCCUGGCCUCCCCUCUGCCUAGGGGCCAGACAAGCCUGCUGCUUCUGGGAGCGGUGUGGAGCUAGGGCAGGCAGGGAGGGAGCCUGCCUUAGUCCCGCUGUGCCACUGAUCAGGAGCCACGGCAGGUAAGUGUCACCUGGACAGAGUCCGCACCUCGAACCCCCUGCCCCAUGUCUGAACUCCCUGCUGCAUCCUAACUCUUUCCCAGACCCUGCAUCCCUACCUGCACCCUAACCCCCAGCUGAGCCCCCUCCAAAACCCAAACUCCAUCCCAGAGCCCACACCCCUAUCCACACCCCAACCCCCUGCCCCAAUUCUAACCCCCCUAUACCCUAACUCCCUCCCAUAGCCCUCUCCCCGACCUGCACCCAAACCCCCUGCCCCAGUUCGUAACCUCCCUCCCACACCCUAAAUCCUUCUCCGACCCCAGUUGAGCCUUGUGCGAGAGCCCUGAGACUGGAGCCAUGAACUGUGCCGCAUGGAGAUGGCCGAUGCCAUCGACUGAGCUGCAGAAUCGGCUGUGUCCAACGUCGCUUGCAGAGAGGCCCUGGCCACUGCCUCUCAGGCGCUGCAGCUGGUUCUGCCACCACCACUGGUGCUGACUGCACUGAGGUCGCCAGGGUUUUGGUACCGGGGUCCAGUUCUGAGUUGGUCUCCGGAGAUGGCCAUGUCGAAGCCAGGGCCUGUCUUUGAGAAACUACCAAGGAUGCCUGUUGGGAAUAUGGUCCUGGCACGGGAAGGAACCCCCAAGGGUUCCAAUACUGCCAUUGGGGUGGCCAGGGUGGAGCUGUUGUUUGCUGGUGGCUAUGGUGGACCGGAGAGCAAUGCCACACUGGGGAGCGGUGAUGUGGGGCCAGUGACUAGUGUCUCAGUGCCAGAGAUGCAUGGCGUGGUGCUGGAGAUUGGUGCUGAGACGGUGGAGUCCGGGAGAACAGCGAAUGACGCCACAGUGAUGGGGAGCGUUGAGCUGGCGACUGGUGCCGCAAUGGCGAUCUGCGCUGUAGCAGAGACCAAGUAGACAGCCUCAUUGAGGGUUUCCCUUUAGAGGGGACUGCCCUCAAGGACUCUCCCUGAGUCUGGCCCUGGUCUGGAAGUGUGGGCGGCAUGGGGAGAGACAUCAAGUCCCUUGCAGGUUGACAGGCCUCUCAUGUCGCGAGGGCCAGGAGAUGCAAUAGGCCCUGACUGCUCCCGGAAGUCGGUGGCAGGUCGUGCACUGGGCUCGGCACCCUAGGCUGCGUCUCCGCCACCAAUUGAGGUUCCGUGGAUGACGAGCAGCCUGGCAUGGGUCUCAGCUUGUUCUGGGACUCCCAUGUAGCUGUCUGUGGUAUUGGAGAGUGCCCCCUAUCCAACCGCAACUUCUUGUGCCUCUUCUUGGGAGUGGGUGAAGGGGAGUGGCACCGAAGGGCCUGGUGCCGGUGGAGCACUCCGCACUCAGUCUGAUGUGCUCAGUGCCGAGUCGGAGCGGCAUGAUUCCAAUACAGGGCGUAGGGUAACCCCCAAUAGCAGGGCUUUCACCCAAAUGUCCCUGUCCUUGAGAGUGCACGGUCUGAAACUUUUACAGAUCCUGCACUUCUCUUCAACAUAUGCCUCCCCAAGGCACUUAAGACAGCUCUUGUGUGGGUUACGAGCAGACAUAGGUUUAUGACAGGCAGCAUACAGCUUAAAUCCAGGGACCAGGGCAUGCUAACUAACUAACUAUUCACUACUUCAACUAUUUACAAGAAAAAACUCAGAGAAAUUAAGAACAGUGAACCACUAAGGAGCUUGGGAGAGUAAGGUGAGAAGGAACUGAGAGGGCCCAGGGCCGGCAACGCCCAAUGUAUAAGGGGACUGUUGACCUCUUACUAAAACUCAGUGGGGGGUGUUUUGAAAACAGCAGAAAAUCAGCCCAGGGAACAGGUCAGUGCUGGGAGCAGAGCUGCAACAACAAAAGCCGGAGAAGCAACCCAGAGAGCAGACCUGUGCUGGGAGGAGAGGAGGAGAACUGCAGGAACCAGAGCCAAAGGAGCCAGAAAAAGCAGCCCAGGGAGCUGGAGGUAGAGCAGCAGCAACAGCAGUGUUGAGGCAGAGUGGAGCUGGGGCUGGAGUAGUCCAGAGCCGGGUGCGAUGAGCAGCAUGGGAGAGCGAGAGGGACCCUGGACAGCAGGCCCAGCACAGAGAGACACCUCCAGCCAAGAGGCCCUGCAGGCCAGAGUUGGAGGGGGAUCAUAACCCCGACGGGGCAGGGGCGAUGCUGGGAAGAAGGGUCCUGCCACCUAGAGCCUCAAAGUGUGUGGCCCCGCCAGAGCAAGUGUCCAACCCACAGCAUCCCUGCAGCACAGCCAGGGUCUGAGAAGGAGGCCUGGGACGUGUGAGGAACAGACCGAACUUCCCUUACUUUCCAGAGACGCUGGUCGUGAUGUCCCCGUGCCACAGAGCGGGGUGAUAUAUUUUCCUUUAACCUUUCCCACUUUUCCCUUAUUUUUUUAAAUCGAUUGCUGUUUAAUAAAUUGUAUUUGCUUUGAACUAUAUGUAAUGAUCAGUGGGUCAGGAAAGUGCCCAGUGUGGAGAGAGCACCUGGGAGUGGGGACACCCUAGCCCCUGCCCUUAGUGACCACGACAAGGUUGGGGGGUCGAGGCCCCCAGCAUCCUGUAUCCAGCCUUCUUGGGGUUACGAGGACUCUGCCACACAGGAGAGGUGAAGGGGAGCCCUUGAGGUCAUCAGCAGAGGCGACCAUGCAGAGUACAUCAGCAGAGUUGACCAUGAUGGAGUCCCAGAAUCGCUAAAGAGCUCCAGCAUAGAUCGAACGGUAGGUACGGGAUCUGAUCACUGUAUGGGGAGAGGAAUCCGUGCUAUCAGAACUACGUUCCAGUUUUUGA